UACGGAGGGUGCAAGCGUUGCUCGGAAUCAUUGGGCGUAAAGCGUACGCAGGCUGUUCGUUAAGUCGGGUGUGAAAGCCCGGGGCUCAACCCCGGAACGGCGCCCGAAACUGGCGAGCUUGAAUGCGGGAGAGGGAAGCGGAAUUCCUGGUGUAGAGGUGAAAUGCGCAGAUAUCAGGAGGAACACCGAUGGCGAAGGCAGGUCUCUGGGCCGAUACUGACGCUGAGGAGCGAAAGCGUGGGGAGCGAACAGG
rnacentral:rRNA from 1 species